UUUAUUGUUAGUUAUUGAUUGGUCAUCAAAAUCACUUUUAAGCAUACAUUCUUCAAGCAUCUGCUUUAAGGGACCUGGUUCCUUUAUUAACAACAUAAUAUAUAUGUACACCUGUCCAACAACAUAGUAACAUGUUCAUGAAACCUGGUUCUUUGAUACAAUUUAUUAAUCAUCAAAACAUAAUUUCAUUCCCAACCCCAUAAAUUCCCCUUUUUGAUGAUGACAAACCCAUUUGCAGAUGCGUCAACGACUUGCCCGUUUUUUCACCAAUUUUCAGCAUAAAAACCAAUUUUGCUAAUAACACUCUUCUUUACUUUGUCCAUAUUUGCACAAGUGUAAGGACUAAUCUUUCAUUCAUCGCAAUCCUGUAGAUGGCUAGGCAUAAUUUAUAUUUAAACCUGCAAACAGAAAAACUCAACAAUAAUUAGUCCAAGUGCUUAAGAACUAGUUUCACUGAUCAACAUAUGUGCAAAUACUUAACUUUUCCCUUUUGGUAGCAUAAAAAGUCAAAGUGUUAGUAGAGUCAAAAAUGAGAACUAAACAAUAUCAAACUUAUGGCCAUUCGGGCUAUACUAACAUGCAUAUAAAUCAAGAACUCAGACAUUAAUCUCAUUAUAUUAUCUAUCUUGAUAGAUUCAUCAAACCAAGAAUACAAAAAUUCAUAUAUGUACCAUAUUAAGCCUCUUAGAUCCACACCAACAGAGGUAACAAGAACCUGCUUCAAACGCCACAAAAAGAAUGUUAAUCCAGAAGAGUACAAAAGAUAACAAUUCAAAAGAGGACUUGACUCAGAAUAGACCGGGGUUGGACUUGUCUAGGAAAAAAUUGAUGACCAGGUUCACGAACUAGAAGAGGG
rnacentral:lncRNA from 1 species